UGGUUGAUCCCUGCCAGUAGUCAUAUGCUUGUCUCAAAGAUUAAGCCAUGCAUGUCUAAGUAUAAGCGUUCUUAUACUGUGAAACUGCGAAUGGCUCAUUAAAUCAGUUAUAGUUUAUUUGAUGGUGGAUUACUACUUGGAUAACCGUGGUAAUUCUAGAGCUAAUACAUGCGUCAAGUCCCGACUUCUGGAAGGGAUGUAUUUAUUAGAUACAAAACCAAUGCACCUUCGGGUGGUUCUUGGUGAUUCAUGGUAACUGUUCGGAUCGCAUGGCCUUGCGCCGGCGAUGAAUCAUUCAAAUUUCUGCCCUAUCAACUGUCGAUGGUAAGGUAGUGGCUUACCAUGGUUGCAACGGGUAACGGAGAAUUAGGGUUCGAUUCCGGAGAGGGAGCCUGAGAAACGGCUACCACAUCCAAGGAAGGCAGCAGGCGCGCAAAUUACCCAAUCCCGACACGGGGAGGUAGUGACGAUAAAUAACAAUGCAGGACUUUUAUAAGUCUUGCAAUUGGAAUGAGCACAAUUUAAACCCCUUAACGAGGAACAAUUGGAGGGCAAGUCUGGUGCCAGCAGCCGCGGUAAUUCCAGCUCCAAUAGCGUAUAUUAAAGUUGUUGCAGUUAAAAAGCUCGUAGUUGGAUUUCGGAGCUGAGCGUGUGGUCCGCCUUCCGGCGUGCACUGUUCGUUCGGUUCUUCUUCUCGUGGAACGCGUGUGCUCUUCACUGAGUGUGCGUGGGACUCGGGACUUUUACUUUGAAAAAAUUAGAGUGUUCAAAGCAGGCCUUUGCUUGAAUACAUUAGCAUGGAAUAAUGAAAUAGGACCAUGGUUCUAUUUUGUUGGUUUUCGGGACCGAGGUAAUGAUUAAUAGGGACAGUUGGGGGCAUUCGUAUUCAAUUGUCAGAGGUGAAAUUCUUGGAUUUAUGGAAGACGAACAACUGCGAAAGCAUUUGCCAAGGAUGUUUUCAUUAAUCAAGAACGAAAGUUGGAGGUUCGAAGACGAUCAGAUACCGUCGUAGUUCCAACCAUAAACGAUGCCGACUAGGGAUUGGCGGAUGUUAUUUGAAUGACACCGUCAGCACCUUAUGAGAAAUCAAAGUUUCUGGGUUCCGGGGGGAGUAUAAUCGCAAGAUCGGAACUUAAAGGAAUUGACGGAAGGGCACCACCAGGAGUGGAGCCUGCGGCUUAAUUUGACUCAACACGGGGAAACUCACCAGGUCCAGACAUAGUAAGGAUUGACAGAUUGAGAGCUCUUUCUUGAUUCUAUGG
rnacentral:rRNA from 1 species